GGUGGUGGCAGAGGGGGAUGGGGCUGCUCCUCUGCCUGUGGAAUUGCAGAUUAUUUUGCAUGGAUUGUUGAAGAGAAAAGAGAGCUGCAUUUGUGAAGGGACUAAGGAAUAAGCGGCUCGUUGCUCGGGGAAUGCAGCUGAGCUCCUGGUCUCCCUGUGGCCUUUCACUCGAUGUUGGAGACUCAAAACCAGCUUCCUCAGAAGAGAAACUGCAGCUCCAAGUUAGGAGAAUAAUACCAAGCCUGAAUUAACCAAGGGGAAAGAAACCCCUGAGCGCUGUGAGAAGAAGCAGAAUA